UGCACUGCCGCCUGCCUCCAUCUCCCUCUCCACACAGACAUUCCCAGCCCCAGCUGGGAGCCAAAGCUCUCAUCCCUCAAGGUGAGCACCGCCGCUGGGUCGGAGACCACAGGUGAAAUAAAUAAAUUGCGCUGAGACGAAAGGAACGACGGAGCCCGGCCGCCCCCCACAGCAGGUGCCUGCGGGAAGGCCGCCCGGCCCGGCCCGGCCCGGCCCUCUCCUCCCCGGGAACAACAAAGGCCGUCGGGCUCCCUCAGGGCUCCACCAGGCCGGGCUCCGGCGGGGCCCGCGCGGUGAGAAGGGCCGCGGGAAGGAAAUCCAUGCAAAAUAAAGAACGCGACAGCCGUAAUCGACCGCCAAAGGCACCUGCCGGGCCGCCCCCCCCAGCCCGCACGUAGUUUGGGUUUCCCUUGGAGUCCCGCGGAAGGUUCUGUGCCUCCCCUUCCUCGGACAAAGAUACCCCCGGCAGGCAACCGCCGCCGCUCAAUGCGCCGUGCCCUGAGGAGAACUGAGCGCCGCCAACACGGGACAGAGGGAAGGAACUCCUCGUGGGGUCUGAGGCUUUCCCGCUGCCUUUGGCCGCUGAGUGGAAGACCACGGAGAGUCCCUGCUGUGGUGUACAAAAGGGACGGUACGUUAGGGAACGGCAUCAAGUUGUGCCAGGGAAGGUUCAGGUCGGGUAUUAGGAAACAUUUCUUCUCGGAAAACGUGGUGAGGCAGUGGCACAGGUUGCCCAGGGAGGUGGUGCAGCCACCGUCCCUGAAGGUGUUCAGGAAACAUGGAGAUGUGGCAUUUAAGGACGUGGUGAGAGGUCAACAGUGGGGAUGGGUUGGGGUUGGAUUUGAUUAUCUCAGUGGUCUUUUCCAGCCUUAAUGAUUCCAUGAUCCGUGCUGCGUGACCAAGAGGAAAUACGUCAUUCACACAGUUCUGAUGUUGAAAUAGAGAUAGAACUCUUUUCUUAAUAAAUUCCCUACAGUUAAAGGACUCCUUUAUGCCAGCUAGGCACAUUACCCAUAUAAAUAUCAGCUAGACACAGCAAGUACGGGGUCAUUGCCACCAUGGGGUGACCCUCACCCACCCACACGUCUUGGGAAGGGUACAAAGGUACAUCAGUGCCUGUGUCCAUUAGCCCUUCUGCCUUUUUCCAUCAACUGCAAACUCAUUUCCUUCAAGACAUCAGCUAUUAAAAACAGUUUGCCUUCCAGCAGUUUGCUUUUUCAUUUACAAAAUCUCUUUCCAAAGCCCUCACAGAAGGGACUGAGCAGUUUGGAGAAUGGCUGCAGGGGUAAAUGCAACAAGAACUAGCAUGCAGGGGAUGAAGGGCCUGUGUAUUUCAUGGGUAAAUGAUCACAAGAAAAUUGCCUCUUGCCUCUGCUAUCACGUCUUGUUAAGUGAAGCUGGGCACCUGAGGACAACAGGAGUCAAUGCCACUUACUCCAUCUUCCUAUGCUAGACAUUAACAUAAAAAAUACAGUUCUACCUAAUAUUUUAAUAAUGUCAUGGGUCAAUGGCUGGACUAGAUGAUCUCAGAGCUCUCUUCCAACCUUAUUGGUAUGAUGAAUUAUGAUUUUCACUCACUGCUAUACAACUUUUCAUCUCAUUCUUGUUUAUGUGGAGGAGAUCUCUGCUUAGGACUCAUGGAUGUCUGAGAGGAGCCCAACUCUAAUUCAGCUCCUGAGGGCAGUGAGGCCCUGGCACAGGCUGCCCAGAGAACCUGUGGAUGCCCCAUCCAUCCCUCAAGGAAGAUGGUACCUGUACAAUUGACUUGAAGUGAUGAAAUUCCACUCAGCUUUCAGGAACAGGAAAAUCCCAAGGUCUGCAGGGCAGCCUCCCACUGGAAGAAAACGAUGUGAAGCAGGUUAUGUUAUUUAUUUAUAAACACACCAUUUUUUUGGAACAGAACAGUUACAAAACCAUAGGCCUGCCACACACUCCUCCCAAAAAACAAGCUCCCACAUCACCAUCUAUUUCCCAGGAAGAUGCUCUACUCCUGGAAUGCCUUCAAGUUCAACGAGUAACCUGAGGACCCCACAGCACACCAAACUCUUCCAAACCAUUUCUUGUACACUUCCACGUAACAUCCAGGAGAUGUGUUAACAACGUAAGAAAAGGGAUUUAUGAAGCUGUAACUGAAGGGGCUUUCUUACAACACCUGUCAUGAUAUGUACUCUCCUACUUCAUCUAAAGCAUCUGAUUAAUCAGGACACAAACUCAGAAAUCACCUUCUCUUCACAUGAGCUAUUGGUGCAAGCGAACAGCUAUUUUGCCAUCACAGGUUUUGUUAUGCAUAACUGCAGACCACGACUGAAACCCACCGGCCAGGCAUGUACACACUCCUGCCUACCAUUUGGGGCAGCUUAAUUAUUUAAAUUCUUCAUAAAUAUUAAGAAAAGAAUAACUUGAGGAGCUAUGAGAAGCUUAGGUCACCACUAAAAGCUGUUAGUUUACAUGCUAAGAUCCUUCUUCUACUUAAUUCCUAGCCUUAGUUUAUUUACAGCCAUGUUAUACACAUUAGAUCUUAUAAAAUUAAGUUCUUGUGGAACUCAAUCCUUCUAUUACUGAUGUUGCACUGGAAGAACUUGGAGUUGCUUCCUCUUCAACAUCGUCAGAAUUGCUUGUAGAUAUGCAGUGCAAGUCUGGAGCUUUUAGAUGCAUGCAUAGCUUCCUGGGAAGAAGUUGUAAUUUCUUUGACAGUCCCCUGCCCAUGAACAAAUGACAUAACUUGAAGCUUUUCUAAUAUUAUUAGCCAUGUCAUAUAAGGAUAGUUUUCAGAAACAAUGACAAAUCUUGUCAGUGCCUGUGGCAGCCUUGUUAACCGCAAGCCUUGUUGUCAAUCUCCCUUCUAGUUGCAGCACUGAAGGAGCACUUCUUUCAAAUAGAAAAUUAUUUUCUACAAGCCCUCAGUCCCCAAGCAGAAAAAAAAAAAAAAGAAAGAUAGCACUUUGGGUGGGUAAGCCAAAGUUUUUAUAUUACUUGGGCCUUCGGCUAUUGAGGAAGUAGAUGGCGAUAAUUUUGUACUGUAGAUUGCUAGGUGACUACGGGCUGCCUGUGAGGAAUCCACGUAAGAGGCAAGGGGAAAGCAUCCAAGGCUUGUCAGAAGGCUUAAACCAAAGGUACAGCAUCCACAUCUCUCCUGGAACGCUCUUAAGGAGUCUGUAUAUCAAAAAAAGUGGAAAAAUAAAAAGUUAAAAUAUGGUUGGCA